AGAGUUUGAUCAUGGCUCAGAUUGAACGCUGGCGGAAUGCUUUACACAUGCAAGUCGAGCGGCAGCGCGGGGGCAACCCUGGCGGCGAGCGGCGAACGGGUGAGUAAUACAUCGGAACAUGUCCAGUUGUGGGGGAUAGCCCGGCGAAAGCCGGAUUAAUACCGCAUGAGCUCGAGAGAGGAAAGCGGGGGACCGUAAGGCCUCGCGCGACUGGGUUGGCCGAUGUCCGAUUAGCUAGUUGGUGGGGUAAUGGCCCACCAAGGCGAUGAUCGGUAGCUGGUCUGAGAGGAUGAUCAGCCACACUGGGACUGAGACACGGCCCAGACUCCUACGGGAGGCAGCAGUGGGGAAUUUUGGACAAUGGGGGAAACCCUGAUCCAGCCAUUCCGCGUGAGUGAAGAAGGCCUUCGGGUUGUAAAGCUCUUUUGUCCGGAGCGAAACGGUUACGGUGAAUAUCCGUGACUACUGACGGUACCGGAAGAAUAAGCACCGGCUAACUACGUGCCAGCAGCCGCGGUAAUUC
rnacentral:rRNA from 1 species